GGAGAGAUGGCAGAGCCUGGUUGAAUGCGCCGGUCUUGAAAACCGGUAGGCCUUUUACGGCCUCGGGGGUUCAAAUCCCCCUCUCUCCG
rnacentral:tRNA from 1 species